AGGCUUUAGAAUUGCAAGUAGUGCUUUGAGAGCUCUAGAGAGGGAACAUCUUGUAACUCUAUCUUUUGCUCUAGGUGGAGCUAGAGUGGUUUGAGUGAAUGUUCUUGGGAGGUUAUUGAGGAAGAGUGUGCAAGGGAUCUUGGGUUGUUUUGGGAACCAUAAAGGUCAAUUUAUUGUACUUUAAAUUCUCAAUAAUAGAAGAACAGUUUCACUCCGUGGACGUAGGCAAGAGACCGAACCACGUAAAUUCUUGUGUUUUUCUGUUUGCUUAUUUU
rnacentral:lncRNA from 1 species